GAUGAACGCUGGCGGCGUGCUUAACACAUGCAAGUCGAACGAAACACCUUAUUUGAUUUUCUUCGGAACUGAAGCUUUGGUGAUUGAGUGGCGGACGGGUGAGUAACGCGUGGGUAACCUGCCCUGUACAGGGGGAUAACAGUCAGAAAUGACUGCUAAUACCGCAUAAGACCACAGCACCGCAUGGUGCAGGGGUAAAAACUCCGGUGGGACAGGAUGGACCCGCGUCUGAUUAGCUGGUUGGUGAGGUAACGGCUCACCCAGGCGACGAUCAGUAGCCGGCUGGGGAGAGUGAACGGCCACAAUGGGACUGAGACACGGCCCAAACUCCGACGGGAGGCAGCAGUAGAGAAUAUUGCACAAUGGGGGAAACCCUGAUGCAGCGACGCCGCGUAAGUGAAGAAGUAUUUCGGUAUGUAAAGCUCUAUCAGCAGGGAAGAAAAUGACGGUACCUGACUAAGAAGCCCCGGCUAACUACGUG
rnacentral:rRNA from 1 species